rnacentral:tRNA from 1 species
GCUUUCCUGGUGUAGUUGGCUAUCACGCAGGAUUCAUAACCCUGAGGUCGCGAGUUCGAUCCUCGCGGAGAGCA